CGAAUUAUUAUCAUCAUUCCUAGGAGUGGUGGGUUCGUUGUUGAGUAAAUAAAGCAAACCCGCCCAAGAGGCGGGUUUC
rfam:Marinomonas spartinae strain CECT 8886 genome assembly, contig: 0015